rnacentral:rRNA from 1 species
UACGUAGGGGGCAAGCGUUGUCCGGAAUCAUUGGGCGUAAAGAGCGUGUAGGCGGCCCGAUAAGUCCGCCGUGAAAGUCCAGGGCUCAACCCUGGGAUGCCGGUGGAAACUGUCGGGCUAGAGUCCGGAAGAGGCGAGUGGAAUUCCCGGUGUAGCGGUGAAAUGCGCAGAUAUCGGGAGGAACACCUAUGGCGAAGGCAGCUCGCUGGGACGUUACUGACGCUGAGACGCGAAAGCGUGGGGAGCAAACAGG